rnacentral:rRNA from 1 species
CCCUUAGAUGUCCUGGGCCGCACGCGCGUUACACUGAUGCAUUCAACGAGCUUAUAACCUUGGCCGAGAGGCCUGGGCAAUCUUGUUAACGUGCAUCGUGAUAGGGAUAGAUCAUUGAAAUUAUUAAUCUUGAACGAGGAAUUCCUAGUAAACGCAGAUCAUCAAUCUGCAUUGAUUACGUCCCUGCCCUUUGUACACACCGCCCGUCGCACCUACCGAUUGGAUGGUCCGGUGAAGCCUCGGGAUUGUGGUUCUUGCCGCUUUAUUGUGGCGUGACCGCGAGAACUUGUCUAAACCUUAUCAUCUAGAGGAAGGUGAAGUCGUAACA